rnacentral:rRNA from 1 species
AGUGAACGCUGGCGGUAGGCCUAACACAUGCAAGUCGAACGGCAGCACAGUAAGAGCUUGUUCUUACGGGUGGCGAGUGGCGGACGGGUGAGGAAUACAUCGGAAUCUACUUUUUCGUGGGGGAUAACGUAGGGAAACUUACGCUAAUACCGCAUACGACCUACGGGUGAAAGCAGGGGAUCUUCGGACCUUGCGCGAUUGAAUGAGCCGAUGUCGGAUUAACUAGUUGGCGGGGUAAAGGCCCACCAAGGCGACGAUCCGUAGCUGGUCUGAGAGGAUGAUCAGCCACACUGGAACUGAGACACGGUCCAGACUCCUACGGGAGGCAGCAGUGGGGAAUAUUGGACAAUGGGCGCAAGCCUGAUCCAGCCAUACCGCGUGGGUGAAGAAGGCCUUCGGAUUGUAAAGCCCUUUUGUUGGGAAAGAAAAGCAGCAGGUUAAUACCCCGCUGUUCUGACGGUACCCAAAGAAUAAGCACCGGCUAACUUCGUG